rnacentral:lncRNA from 1 species
CCUGACUUCCACGGGGCAACGGCACGGGUUUCAGUUUGCAGCUCUGAAAAAUAAGGACAUUUCCUUAUGUGUCCAUAACACCAGGCUGGUUUCAUUACUGAUGAAAACAACAAUGAAAUCUGUCCUGGAAGAGCAGCCCCAACGGACGGAGACACGCAGUCAGAAUCUGCCCUGGGGCUGUGUGGAGACGCUGAGGGCAAGAAAUCCUCUCCUCUCGGUUGAUAGGUCAGGAGGAUCUGCUCCUGCACCCAGCCCUCCGUCUGCACAGUGGAGCCACGCAGAGCGAGGGACAGAGACAGGGCCCGGGACACGCGGGCCCUCCCCUCCGGACUCCCAGGGGCGGAAGUCAAGGUCAUCUCACAACCUGAAGGGCCUUGACUCAUCCCCCGACUUGGGUUCCCUCUGGGGCCCGCCCCCCUCAUGCCAUUUCCUGCCCUGGGCACCUGGAGGAGUCCGGCUCACCUGUGCAAGGCCAGCCCAAUCUCCGCUGGCGCUUCUCCACACUCCCAUCUCCGCCCAGCUCGCUCCCUGACCGAGCCCCGCGAGGCCUUUCUCUUUGCUCCCUGUUCCCACAGCUCCUGGUGCUCACCAGCACUGUGUGUUCCAGCAGCCUGGGUGUGCCCCGCGGGGAAGGCAGUACCGUACAGGACUUAGGACCACAGGCUCUGCGGGGGGAACGAUGUGGGUUCAAAUCCCCACUCUGAGACCCAGGCCAGCCACUUCCUCUUCUCUCUGCUCCUCGAUUUUUCUCAUCCACGGAAGGGCUGGUGAGAAGCCACCUGCGCAGACACCUGGUUGUGUGGCUUACGGUCAUCCCC